AACGAACGCUGGCGGCAUGCCUAACACAUGCAAGUCGAACGAUGCCUCCGGGCAUAGUGGCGCACGGGUGCGUAACGCGUGGGAAUCUGCCCUUGGGUUCGGAAUAACUCGCCGAAAGGCGAGCUAAUACCGGAUGAUGACGUAAGUCCAAAGAUUUAUCGCCCAAGGAUGAGCCCGCGUAGGAUUAGCUAGUUGGUGGGGUAAAGGCCCACCAAGGCGACGAUCCUUAGCUGGUCUGAGAGGAUGAUCAGCCACACUGGGACUGAGACACGGCCCAGACUCCUACGGGAGGCAGCAGUGGGGAAUAUUGGACAAUGGGCGAAAGCCUGAUCCAGCAAUGCCGCGUGAGUGAUGAAGGCCUUAGGGUUGUAAAGCUCUUUUACCCGGGAUGAUAAUGACAGUACCGGGAGAAUAAGCUCCGGCUAACUCCGU
rnacentral:rRNA from 1 species